rnacentral:lncRNA from 1 species
AUGGAAAAGAAAUGCAAAAAAGCAAAAUGGCUGUCUGGGGAGGCCUUACAAAUAGCUGUGAAAAGAAGAGAAGCGAAAAGCAAAGGAGAAAAGGAAAGAUAUAAGCAUCUGAAUGCAGAGUUCCAAAGAAUAGCAAGAAGAGAUAAGAAAGCCUUCUUCAGCGAUCAAUGCAAAGAAAUAGAGGAAAAGAACAGAAUGGGAAAGACUAGAGAUCUCUUCAAGAAAAUUAGAGAUACCAAGGGAACAUUUCAUGAAAAGAUGGGCUCGAUAAAGGACAGAAAUGGUAUGGACCUAGUAGAAGCAGAAGAUAUUAAGAAGAGGUGGCAAGAAUACACAGAGGAACUGUACAAAAAAGAUCUUCAUGACCUGGAUAAUCAUGAUGGUGUGAUCAUUCAUCUAGAGCCAGACAUCCUGGAAUGUGAAGUCAAGUGGGUCUUAGAAAGCAUCACUACGAACAAAGCUAGUGGAGGUGAUGGAAUUCCAGUUGAGCUGUUUCAAAUCCUGAAAGAUGAUGCUAUGAAAGUGCUGCACUCAAUAUGCCAGCAAAUUUGGAAAACUCAGCAGUGGCCACAGGACUGGGAAAGGUCACUUUUCAUUCCAAUCCCAAAGAAAGGCAAUGCCAAAGAAUGCUCAAACUACCGCACAAUUGCAGUCAUCUCACAUGCUAGUAAAGUAAAGCUCAAAAUUCUCCAAACCAGGUUUCAGCAAUACAUGAACCGUGAACUUCCAGAUGUUCAAGCUGGUUUUAGAAAAGGCAGAGGAACCAGAGAUCAAAUUGCCAACAUCCACUGGGUCAUGGAAAAAGCAAGAGAGUUCCAGAUAAACAUCUACCUCGGCUUUAUUGACUGUGCCAAAGCCUUUGACUGUGUGGAUCACAAUAAACUGUGGAAAAUUCUGAAAGAGAUGGGAAUACCAGACCACCUGACCUGCCUCUUGAGAAACCUAUAUGCAGGUCAGGAAGCAACAGUUAGAACUGGACAUGGAACAACAGACUGGUUCCAAAUCGGAAAAGGAGUACAUCAAGACUGUAUAUUGUCACCCUGCUUAUUUAACUUCUAUGCAGAGUACAUCGUGAGAAACACUGGGCUGGAAGAAGCACAAGCUGGAAUCAAGAUUGCCAGGAGAAAUAUCAAUAACCUCAGAUAUGCAGAUGACACCACCCUUAUGGCAGAAAGUGAAGAGGAGCUAAAAAGCCUCUUGAUGAAAGUAAAAAAGGAGAGUGAAAAAUUUGGCUUAAAGCUCAAGAUUCAGAAAACGAAGAUCAUGGCAUCCGGUCCCAUUGCUUCAUGGGAAAUAGACGGGGAAACAGUAGAAACAGUGUCAGACUUUAUUUUGGGGGGCUCCAAAAUCAUUGCAGAUGGUGACUGCAGCCAUGAAAUUAAAAGACGCUUACCCCUUGGAAGAAAAGUGAUGACCAACCUAGAUAGCAUAUUCAAAAGCAGAGACACGACUUUGCCGACUAAGGUCUGCCUAGUCAAGGCUAUGGGUUUUCCUGUGGUCAUGUAUGGAUGUGAGGGUUGGACUGUGAAGAAGGCUGAGUGCCAAAGAAUUGAUGCUUUUGAAUUGUAG